CAUAUAAAUGGAUAAGCAAUUUGCCGUAUAGGAUAAGUGGAGUAAGGAAAAGUACAGUGGACAUACUCAGCAAUAAAAAGGGAAGAACUACUGAUACAGGUAACAGUAUGAAAGAAUCACAAAAUAAUUAUGCUGAAUGAAAUAAGCCAGACAAAAACAGUACACACUGUACGAUUCCAUUUAUAGACAAAUUCUAGAAAAAGCAAAUUAAUCUACAGUAACAAAAAGCAGAUCAGGCCGGGCGUGGCAGCUCACACCUGUAAUCUCAGCAUUUU
rnacentral:lncRNA from 1 species